rnacentral:rRNA from 1 species
CCUACGGGAGGCUGCAGUAACGAAUAUUCCGCAAUGCACGAAAGUGUGACGGAGCAAUGCCGCGUGCAGGAUGAAUCCCCUCGGGGUGUAAACUGCUGUCAGUGACUAGAAAAAAAAUGAUCAGUCGCAAAGGAAGGACCGGCUAAUCUCGUGCCAGCAGCCGCGGUAAUACGAGAGGUCCGAGCGUUACGCGGAAUUACUGGGCUUAAAGCGUACGUAGGCGGAUCUACAGGUAUCCUGUGAAAGCCCACGGCUCAACCGUGGAAUUGCAGGGUAAACCGUAGAUCUUGAGGUGGCUAGGGGCUCUCGGAACGGUAGGUGGAGUGGUGAAAUGCGUUGAUAUCUACCGGAACGCCAAAGGGGAAGCCAGGGAGCUGGGGCCAUUCUGACGCUGAGGUACGAAAGCGUGGGUAGCGAACGGGAUUAGAUACCCUAGUAGU